rnacentral:rRNA from 1 species
AUGUUAGAACAUUUCUGUGAAUGCUAUUUCGAUCUAAGUGGUCCUAUUCUCUGUCCCGUGCUAGGAAGCAUUACUCCUCUUUUCAUUCCAAAUUCUUCAAUAAGACCGAUACGAUUGAUUGGUCUGUGCGUUUCUCUUAUUACUUUUUUGUAUCCCCCUGUUCCUCGGAUACAAUUCGAUCCUUCUACGGCCAAAUCUCAAUUUGUGGAAAGCCUUCGAUGGCUUCCUUAUGAAAACAUCCAUUUGUAUAUGGGUAUAGACGGUCUUUCAUUAUUCUUCGUGAUAUUGACCACAUUUCUGAUCCCUAUUUGCAUUUCAGUGGGUUGGUCUGGUAUGAGAAGUUUUGGGAAAGAGUAUAUUACAGCAUUUCUAAUUCGUGAAUUUCUAAUGAUCGCCGUGUCCUGCAUGCUGGAUCCUCUACUAUUCUAUGUUCUUUCCGAAAGCGUGCCAAUCCCUAUGUUCAUCAUUAUAGGGGUAUGGGGUUCGAGACAAAGAAAGAUCAAGGCAGCAUAUCAGUUUUUCCUAUAUACUUUACUUGGAUCCGUUUUUAUGCUAUUAGCUAUUCUGUUGAUUCUUCUCCAAACAGGAACCACCGAUUUACAAAUUUUAUUAACCACUGAAUUUAGUGAGCGGCGCCAAAUCCUUCUAUGGAUUGCUUUUUUCGCCUCUUUUGCCGUCAAAGUGCCUAUGGUACCAGUUCAUAUUUGGUUACCCGAAGCCCAUGUAGAGGCACCUACGGCUGGAUCCGUCAUCUUGGCUGGAAUUCUUUUAAAAUUGGGAACCUACGGGUUUUUAAGAUUUUCAAUACCCAUGUUUCCCGAAGCGACACUUUGUUUCACUCCUUUCAUUUAUACUCUAAGCGCGAUUGCUAUAAUAUAUACUUCCUUGACCACUUUAAGACAGAUCGAUCUUAAGAAGAUCAUUGCCUACUCCUCAGUAGCCCAUAUGAAUUUGGUGACUAUUGGUAUGUUUAGUCGGAACAUACAGGGAAUUGGAGGUAGCAUUUUACUUAUGUUAAGUCAUGGACUGGUUUCUUCAGCCCUUUUUCUAUGUGUUGGUGUUCUAUAUGACCGACAUAAGACUCGACUUGUUAGAUAUUAUGGAGGUUUAGUGAGCACCAUGCCGAAUUUCUCUACCAUUUUCUUCUUUUUCACUUUAGCCAAUAUGAGUUUACCCGGCACUAGCAGCUUUAUCGGGGAAUUUCUAAUCUUAGUAGGAGCUUUCCAAAGAAAUAGCUUAGUAGCCACAUUAGCUGCGCUUGGGAUGAUUUUAGGCGCGGCGUAUUCCCUUUGGCUAUAUAAUCGUGUGGUUUCUGGAAAUUUAAAACCCGAUUUCCUCUAUAAAUUCUCCGAUCUAAAUGGCAGAGAAGUUUCCAUAUUUCUACCUUUUCUUGUUGGAGUUGUUCGGAUGGGUGUUCACCCCAAAGUGUUCCCGGACUGCAUGCAUACAUCCGUAAGUAACUUAGUGCAACAUGGCAAAUUUCAUUGA